UUUAUAGUGGCAGAAACAUGCAUAGAUUUUAAGCGUCUAUUAUAGGCUUAUUAGGCCUCUAUUCUC
rnacentral:tRNA from 1 species